UGUUGUCUGUAGUGUUCCUAUACUAUUUUAGGAAUGUCAGUGAGCUGUCACAACUACGACGCGUAGAGCAUUUUUUAACCUACCGAUUUUGUUCGGUUGUGCUUUGGAAUUUUUGUGUUUGUGUUUUUUCUUUUAAAAUGUCGAGUUCAGAAAGUGAUAACGAAGUUUUAAUGUUACUGAAUUCAAGCGACGAUUCAAGUGAUGAUACGCGAAGUAAUAGAGUGUAUAAAACAAGAAUCAAUUAUUAUUCAGAGCUCGAUAAUCAGGAGUUUCAACUAAGAUUUCGGCUCGACAAGCAGUCUGUGCAAUUACUGUUAGGUGAAAUUUAUCCUUUUUUAAAGGAAUCAUGGAAUAUCUCCCUUACAUUACAAUUUAUCAGUUUUUUUUGGUAUUUUGGCGCGGUCCGGCCGACAUCUGGCGUUUCCUUUGUCUCUUCAUGGCGUUUUGUUCACUUUACAGUUAAAACUAAAGUAGCUGUUUUUAAAUUGUGAAUGUUCAAAUAAAAUUACAUAUGUGAUGAAUUACAAUUAAUUUAUAUUAUUUUAAAAUAUUUAUGUAAAAAUACUAAUAAAAACUUAUGUAUUUUGAAAA